CCCUUUAGACUCCCUGGUGCAAUGUAGCUGAUUUACUAUCAGGCAUCCCGAUCUUCUUUCCCCUGAUAAGACUAUAAAGUGCUCGCAAGCAGAGGUCAAAGAGCACAGUUGGAUUCCCCACUGUGCAGCACAGGAGUCCCCAUAUAGUCAGCUUUCCAUAAACUCCUCCGGCAUUCAGUUGUCAAUACAGUGGUCCACCCCACUGAGCACCCCUGAUUUUCUGACCUGGCAGAAGACACAGGUUCUCAGGCCUGCACUCAAAACACCCAUGGACCCCUUGGGAUUUCAGGUUCUCAAAAAAGAAAACACUAUGUUAGGCAAUCACCUGGAAUCCCAGCACACUCUGGAACGAAAAUGACUGCGGCUGGCUGGGGACCCAAGAUCUCUGUUGUGAGGACACACACAAUUACAACUCACGAGAAAGCUGCAAACAAAGCGUCCUGGGGCCAAAGAAGCCAGGAGGAUGAGAGAAGGCUCACAGAUCACUCAUUGCACUUACGGAUGCUCACGGAGGAUACCUGCACUCUGGGCCACUCACUGGGCAGCAGGUCUGGCAAGUGAGCCCGAUCCUAAAUGGCCAAAGACACGGACCCUGCCAGCAACAGGCACAGAGCUGCUAUGGGAGACUCCGAGUAAAGCCAAAUUGUUCUCCAGGAAGAGAAUGCUGAAGACCCAGAGGAACCUGGAGGCAAAAAAGCAGCUGGGAGGCCAUUAUAUCUACUGCAGUGACAAAAGGGUACAUCAGAAUUGAUAGACAGAGAAAAGUUCUCGAGAUGUAUUGAAGGUAGCACCACAUAUUUUGUGGCACAUUAUGCAUUUGGUCCAGGGGCUUAAAAAUGGAGGACCUAGCAAUGUUGAUUGAUAUGUUUACUGCCCAGUCUCAUGCCUUGAAGCAUAAAAAAUGAAAACAGAGCCUGAUGAUUCACAGGAAGAAUUAAACGAUGAGGAAGGAAAAAGGG
ensembl:processed_transcript 1700120O09Rik RIKEN cDNA 1700120O09 gene